CUGGAAAGGGUUGGGGGAGGGAACUGUGGCCUUAAGAGAGAAAAGAAGAAUGCGGACCCCUCCGUCCAGGGCUGGAGAGGCCAGGCCUAAAAAGGAAUAAAGAGGCGAGGCUCAGAGAGAAGGAGAGAGGGAGGGGCGUAAGGACCCCAAGCCCAAGGAGAAUAAAGGAGGAGAGGGGGAUGGAGAUUUCAGACCCAGGGAGCAGAUGAGGAAGGGGUAGAGAUCCUAACCUUAGUGAGGGAAGGGGAAGGAGCUGAAGUCAUCAGCCUCAGAGGAAAAGACAAGACCCCUUCCCUCCCCUCAAAUCUGUGGGAAGGAAAGGAACUGCCAGCCGUACUGAGAGAGUCUCAAGGACAUGCGACCUAAACUCCCAGCUGGGGCCCCAGCUGCUAUUCGUCUUCAAGAGCGAUGGAGGCAGACCCUAAGCACAAUUGUGAGAAAGGAGCUACUUCAGGAUCCUGUGGAAAAGCUGCAUUAUAAUCGAUAGCCUCAUAAAUAAAUGAAGAGUCAACGCAGCCUGUCUCCUCCAGCUCAGGGCAUCUUCAGGAAAAUCGAACCUCGAGCCACUUCUGCUCACCCAUUCUGGAUUUCUACAGAGGCCUCCAGAGGGAAGGAAUCUUACAGGAUCAGCAGCAGGAGGAAGGGAGUCACUCCCCACUCCUCUGGAGUCUCCUCUCCAUACUCACCCCUCCGACUUCUUGUCAUCAAUUGUAAAUGGGCCCCUUGGGAUCUGACAGAGUAUGCAUUUCUGGAAGCAAUGGACAAAGACCCUUGUAACUUUACAGAACAGAUACGUGCCAGUAAGUUGACUGCAAGGCAAUCCUUCCUCUCUCUGCCUUCUAUUACAUCACUGGAGAUGUUCUUCUCGUGGGAAAAAGGAAAUCUCCAACAAGGAAGUUCAAUAUUUUGGAAUCCAAAGACCAAGAGGGUGGUCAGCCCUGUGUGGUGAUGGGCGUCAGCCUUCUGGGUUCCUUGAAACACCUCAGGACCUCUCCUCUGUUUGAUGCCUUGGUUUCCCCUCCGCUUCCCUGGCCCAGACAGAGAACACUCCCAUGGCUAAGGAUUCUUAAGCGCUGCUUGGGUAGUUAGCAUGGAGAAAGGAGUCAUCUGGUUGUGACAGCCCUCUGUAUUCGUAAUUAUUGACCACCAUGCUCCAGUUGAUCCCUGGGGGCUGAAAACUCCUUUAAUUAAAGGUUUCUGACUACAAGAUACUAUAUCCC
rnacentral:lncRNA from 1 species